rnacentral:tRNA from 1 species
GCUCCGUUGGUGUAGUCCGGCCAAUCAUCCUGCCCUUUCGAGGCAGGGACUCGGGUUCAAAUCCCGGACGGAGCACCA